AUAUAGAAGGGGAUGUGUAGGAAGGUAGCAACUAGAAUAUUUCAUUGAUAUUUCAGUUGUGUGCAGCCUUGACCGAUCCCAUGGGAUGAUAUGCGCUCUAAAAUAUUAGGGGUUCAAAAAGGGUUCUUCUAAGAUCCUCAAAGUUCUUAGAAGAACCUUAGGGUUCUUGACACUGAAAAAAAGGUUAUCAAAAGGUUCUUCCAAGAACCCCAUUGGAGGUGGAGUUCGUCGAGGAACUUCCUUAGUUGUUGGGAGUUCUUGCAAAAACCCAACUGCCCAACUGAAACAUUUGAAUUUGAAAGGACAGCAGGUGCAGGCACUUAACUGAAAAAUGUAAAGAUCUCCUUAAUUUAAGGUAUAUAGAUGCGGAGGCAUACAAAGUUAUGUCUAUUGGUAUGUUAUGUUAUGCAGAUCACAUUUUCCACCACCUCUUCAAUGAAUAUCCCAUAGGUCUCUACAUUAUGGAUAAGACUUCACCCUCCCUACACCUCUGAUGAAUAAAACAGGAAACCUGUUAGAUCACCAUGCACUGCAAAAUCAUUCUGGCUAUGGAUACAGAGAACAUCAACACAUUAACAUCAACACGCCAGAGGAUAUGCUCAUUGGACUUGGGGCUCUGCUGGGAGUUUGCCUCAUAUUUAGAUUUUUUUAUUCUGCUUUGGCACUAAAAUCAUAAUAAACACUGACAA